CUAGACUGCCAACUGGGGUCAUCCCUAAGGAACAUAUCUCACCAGCCUUGAAGAAUCUGGACAUUUCUGAGCACAGUUCAAAGGGCUGUAUUUGCAGCACAAUCCAGUGAGAAGUUCUCCAGCAUGAGUCCGAAAACAUGAAGUGCCAAUGUUCUGUCAGUCAUCCAGAAUGCUUCAAGAAAUUAUUCAAACUGUUCUCUGCUUAGCAUUCUCUCACAGCAUUGCUGCAAAUCUAUUUAAUAAGUGUUUUAAUGAACAUAUUUCCAUUUGGAAAGUGAGCAUCAACGCUCAAUGGAAGUUAAUUAAAAUUAUGUAAACUGUGACCUUGUGAAGAUUAAUUGAUGUUAGUAAAUCUUAGCUUCCUUCCUUCCUUUUAUUUUUU